rnacentral:lncRNA from 1 species
GUCCAAGCUUUGCAGAGUCUAGUAUAAAUGUUCUGCCUUGCUGAAGAGAUAAUAAGGAUCUCUCCAUGUCUUCUCUUCUUUUUCUUCUUCCUGUAUUCUUUGCAGUCUAUAUUGUAAAUGCGAGACAAGGUUUAAUUCUUUUGCUAAAGGCUGUCCAUAUUUAAGUUGGUGUCAGAGUUGAUCGUACAAAGGUAGGUACAAUCUGGGACUAACUUGAGGAAUCAAAAAGAAAGUUCUCAAGACAACAAAUUUGUACUACAUCACAAUUCCUUCAAGAGUAAGAGGAAGAGUUUUCUUAAUUUUAACCAUGAAUUCAGUGAAUCUUUCAAAGAGUUGAUCUUGCAAUACAUUUGAUAAUAAUUGAUUUUGGUUUUAAAUACCUCAACUAAGGUUUUGCAUCCCUUUAUAUAAUAAAGAUACAACGUCUAAAUAUGGUAAUUAACAAUGAAUUCUCUAUAUUAGGAAUCAAUGACACAAUCAAAUCCCUCAAAUUAGGUAAUGUAAUCAAAUCUCCUAUAUAAGGAAGUAAAGCCUAAUUGCCGAUGAAUUGACAGCAUAUUGACAACAUCCACAUUGGAACCAGAAUUUCUCGAUCCUUCAUCAUUAGCAAUGCUUGACAAUGAGAACAAGAGGCCUCAAGAUAUUUUGACCUUAGACAUUGAAAAGGAAGUGAAGUUUGAAGUUGGAAAUAGACAUUAUUGAAGGAAAAUUUUCAAUAUACAGAUUAUGAAGAUCACUGUAAUUGAUAUUUGGAAGUAGAUCUUUCAUAAGAUUGGAGUGUGCUCUACUGAUAAAUUUUCCACCACCCAAACCAAUGAAGGAUGAAUAAGAGAAUUAAAACAAUUCCCCUCCUCCCUCCUCACACCUACACAAACGAAUGCAAGCACACAAGUUACAGCAUUCCAAUUUCAUAUACUAAACCUCCCUAAAGCUAUUUCUUCUUUUACUCCUGAUAUCUUGAGAAUAGUUCAUAUAAAAUCAGUUCACUUAGACAGGUAUAUUCUAAAAAAUAAUUUAUUUCACAAGUUCGUUAAUUCUUAUACGAAAGAGAAGAAAUUUUUGUAAGUCGAACUAUUUUCCCAAAUCGAAAGGCUGAAACAUACAAAAAUUACAAGUCAAACUAUUCAUGGACACACUUAAAAAAUAAAAAAAAAUAAAAAAAACCUUUAAAUGGGAUUUUAUGCUUAGGUAAACAUACUGUGUAGCUUUCAACAGAAUUGGGUUUUAAAGUAGAUUUUAGUACUCGAUGAUAAAAAUGUUCUUGAUUUUGAUAAUCAAUUUUCAACUAUGACAAUACCAUUCUUCUUUCAUUAUGCAUGAUUCUUGAGAUUACGACUAUCAAAAAAUGUCAACUAUGCUUAAGACGAAAAUUCCAGAAAAACAUAUUCAUUUCAAAUAAACGACGUCAUAAAAAUUUCCAAAAAUCAAAAGGCAACCGUAAAAUAAAACCCAUAAAAAUACACAAUUAUGCAGAGAAAGAGGGAUGAAAAUUGCCUUUUCUGGGCAGCUUCGGCAGCCUUAGUACGGGCUUCUUAAGAAGCUAAACGCCCUUCUUUUCUCUGCUGCUUGCUUCCUCCAUCAAAGCAAGCAAAGCAACCCAUUCCUCUUUUUUCCUUUCUCCGAUGUUAUGAAUGAUACCUAGAUUAUGAUCGGGCAGGGUUUGGUUAAGAUUUCAAGAUUUGUAUCUAGUUUUCUGGGUUUUCGUAUAAAUUAAAGUGGGUUCUUUGAGCGUACAUGGUAUCACUUCUGGCCUGGUUAGCGUUUACAC